rnacentral:rRNA from 1 species
AGUGAACGCUGGCGGCAGGCCUAAUACAUGCAAGUCGAACGGCAGCACAGUGGAGCUUGCUCCAUGGGUGGCGAGUGGCGGACGGGUGAGGAAUACAUGGGAAUCUGCCCAGUCGUGGGGGAUAACGUAUGGAAACGUACGCUAAUACCGCAUGCGCCCUUCGGGGGAGAGUCGGGGACCGCAAGGCCUGACGCGAUUGGAUGAGCCCAUGUUCGAUUAGCUAGUUGGCGGGGUAACGGCCCACCAAGGCGACGAUCGAUAGCUGGUCUGAGAGGAUGAUCAGCCACACUGGAACUGAGACACGGUCCAGACUCCUACGGGAGGCAGCAGUAGGGAAUAUUGGACAAUGGGCGCAAGCCUGAUCCAGCCAUGCCGCGUGAGUGAAGAAGGCCCUCGGGUUGUAAAGCUCUUUUGUUGGGGAAGAAAAGCAGUUGGUUAAUACCCGAUUGUUCUGACGGUACCCAAAGAAUAAGCACCGGCUAACUUCGUG